rnacentral:rRNA from 1 species
AGUGAACGCUGGCGGUAGGCCUAACACAUGCAAGUCGAACGGCAGCACAGUAAGAGCUUGCUCUUACGGGUGGCGAGUGGCGGACGGGUGAGGAAUACAUCGGAAUCUACUUUUUCGUGGGGGAUAACGUAGGGAAACUUACGCAAUACCGCAUACGACCUACGGGUGAAAGCAGGGGAUCUUCGGACCUUGCGCGAUUGAAUGAGCCGAUGUCGGAUUAGCUAGUUGGCGGGGUAAAGGCCCACCAAGGCGACGAUCCGUAGCUGGUCUGAGAGGAUGAUCAGCCACACUGGAGCUGAGACACGGUCCAGACUCCUACGGGAGGCAGCAGUGGGGAAUAUUGGACAAUGGGCGCAAGCCUGAUCCAGCCAUACCGCGUGGGUGAAGAAGGCCUUCGGGUUGUAAAGCCCUUUUGUUGGGAAAGAAAAGCAGCAGGUUAAUACCCCGCUGUUCUGACGGUACCCAAAGAAUAAGCACCGGCUAACUUCGUG